rnacentral:rRNA from 1 species
CUCGGGUUUGAUCCUGGCUCAGGAUGAACGCUAGCGGCAGGCUUAACACAUGCAAGUCGAGGGGUAUAGUUCUUCGGAGCUAGAGACCGGCGCACGGGUGCGUAACGCGUAUGCAAUCUACCUUUUACAGAGGGAUAGCCCAGAGAAAUUUGGAUUAAUACCUCAUAGUAUGCAGAGUUGGCAUCAACACUGCAUUAAAGUCACAACGGUGAAAGAUGAGCAUGCGUCCCAUUAGCUUGUUGGUAAGGUAACGGCUUACCAAGGCAACGAUGGGUAGGGGUCCUGAGAGGGAGAUCCCCCGACACUGGUACUGAGACACGGACCAGACUCCUACGGGGAGGCAGCAGUGGGGAAUUUUGGACAGUGGACGCAAGUCUGAUCCCAGCCCAUUCCGCGUGCAGGA